rnacentral:rRNA from 1 species
AGAGUUUGAUCAUGGCUCAGAGUGAACGCUGGCGGCGUGCUUAACACAUACAAGUCGAGCGAAGUGGCAGCUGUAGCAAUACAGUAUGUACUUAGCGGCAGACGGGUGAGUAACACGUAGAUAACUUUCCUCUAAGCGGGGGAUAGCUUGCCGAAAGGCGAGGUAAUACCGCGUAUAAUCAAGAUUCGGCAUCGGAUUUUGAUGAAACAUCCGCAAGGAUGGCUAAGAGAGAGAUCUGCGGCCUAUCAGCUAGUUGGUGGGGUAACGGCCCACCAAGGCUAUGACGGGUAUCCGACCUGAAAGGGUGACCGGACACACUGACACUGAGACACGGGUCAGACUCCUACGGGAGGCAGCAGUGAGGAAUUUUGGACAAUGGGGGCAACCCUGAUCCAGCGACGCCGCGUGAAGGAUGAAGGUCUUCGGAUUGUAAACUUCUUUUAUCUGGGACUAAGAAAUCUAUGGAAACAUAGGGAGUGAA